rnacentral:rRNA from 1 species
GAUGAACGCUGGCGGCGUGCCUAAUACAUGCAAGUCGAGCGAACGGACGAGAAGCUUGCUUCUCUGAUGUUAGCGGCGGACGGGUGAGUAACACGUGGAUAACCUACCUAUAAGACUGGGAUAACUUCGGGAAACCGGAGCUAAUACCGGAUAAUAUUUUGAACCGCAUGGUUCAAAAGUGAAAGACGGUCUUGCUGUCACUUAUAGAUGGAUCUGCGCUGCAUUAGCUAGUUGGUAAGGUAACGGCUUACCAAGGCAACGAUGCAUAGCCGACCUGAGAGGGUGAUCGGCCACACUGGAGCUGAGACACGGUCCAGACUCCUACGGGAGGCAGCAGUAGGGAAUCUUCCGCAAUGGGCGAAAGCCUGACGGAGCAACGCCGCGUGAGUGAUGAAGGUCUUCGGAUCGUAAAACUCUGUUAUUAGGGAAGAACAUAUGUGUAAGUAACUGUGCACAUCUUGACGGUACCUAAUCAGAAAGCCACGGCUAACUACGUG